rnacentral:rRNA from 1 species
UAUUGAAGAUGAAAGAUUUAUUGCUCAAGGAGGGGCCCGCGGUCGAUUAGCUAGUUGGUGGGGUAAUGGCCUACCAAGGCUGUGAUCGAUAGCUGGUCUGAGAGGAUGAUCAGUCACACGGGAACUGAGACACGGUCCCGACUCCUACGGGAGGCAGCAGUGAGGAAUAUUGCACAAUGGGGGAAACCCUGAUGCAGCAACGCCGCGUGGAGGAUGACAGCCCUUGGGUUGUAAACUCCUUUUCUGUGGGACGAGAGAGGACGGUACCACAGGAAUAAGUCACGGCUAACUACGUGCCAGCAGCCGCGGUAAUGCGUAGGUGGCGAGCGUUAUCCGGAAUUACUGGGCGUAAAGCGUACGCAGGCGGCUUGUUUAAUCUGACGUGAAAUCUCCCG